AUGGCGUCCCGCCGCGUCCUCCACCUCCUAACGGCAUCUCGGGGCAUCUCCUCAACCCCACAUCUCGCCUCCCUCGGGUGGAUCAACAAGAUCAAGGACACCUUCACCGGCAAGAAGGCCGCCGACUCACCCUUCCCCCCGUCCGAAUCCUUCAAUCUCAACAUGUUCGCGGAUUCGAUGGAGAUGGCGAGGAAGGUGGGAACUUUCAAGAACUUCGUGUCAGGGAGAUGCAGCGAGGCCACCGUCGUAGCCGCCUGCGAGAAGCACGCCGCCGUUCUCCGCUACCUCGCCACCAUCGACCCAACCGGCGAGAAGCUCAAAACCAGUGACAAAAUUAGUGCCACCAAGCAUUGCAACUGCACAAUUGCUGAUGUCGAGCACAUACUGGCCAAGUACACAUGGGCUAAAGAUGCCCAAAAGAAGAUUGAAAAACUCAAAGAAGAAGGAAAGCCAGUGCCAAAGACAUUUGCUGAGGUGCAAAAUCUAAUGGGUAAUACAGCCUUGGACCUUGGAAGAGCUAAUCUGGCAAAGAGUGGUGUUGUGGGGCUUCUUGAGGUGAAAACCCAUGCUUUCCUUUUGCUUGCUAGCGCUGACUGGGGCAGAGUUCUGCUCUGCUGUGAUCAAGAAAAGCACGUCGGGAUUCUGAACCUAGACAGCGAGACUACAUCAGCGGCUGAAAGAGCCAAACUUAAUUGUCGCAAACCUGGCUGCGGGACUUGUAAAGCGCCAUAA
rnacentral:rRNA from 1 species